GUGCUUGCUUCCACAGCACAUAUGCUAAAACUGGAACAGUGCAGAGAUUAGCAUGGCCCCUGUGCAAGGAUGACACGCAAAUUCGUGAAGUGUUCCUUAUUUAA